AAAUGAUGGAUCUUUUGCCAUUUUUCCAACCAGCUUGGCAUAUCGCUGCCUCUCUCUGCCUCAGUUUGCCCACCUGUACAAUGAGGGAAAAUACGCACACAUCUGAGGCUAGUUGCAAAACAUUUUGAGGAUUAAGAGCAUGUGGUUUGACUGUUUCCAAAGCCAUAUUGGCUACAGAUGUUCCUAUUAUCCAGAAGGCAGUGCUAAAUGUGACCCUCGAACCGCUUUGAAAGUUGACGUAUGGAUAAGUACCGGGCUCCUGGCCUGGCAUCUUUCACUGACACUGCAGUCUCUCUCUUUCUCACACAAACACACAGUGUAAAAGAAAAAUGAAACUUGGCCACCAAACGCCUUUUUUAGGGUUUUAUCCACAAAUGAAGUUCUUUGUUUUGCCUUUUUCAAGCACAUGUUUCCUUCUUCAGACCAGAUUUUUUUUUUUUUAAACUGCAAUCUAGAUUUACAAUAUAUACAAUCUAGAUAGUAAGGGAUAAUCAGCACAUCUUGCAGAUUUACCUAUGUACAGUCUUUGGAGCAAGAAUUCUUUUAUUAAAAAAACUCUUUUCAAAAAGUCUUUACAAUAGAACCAUGGUGCAAUACAUCAGUCAUCUUCGGAGGCAACUGGGAUUCUGAGAUCGCUCGCGCUCCAAAGACCAGUGAGCAUGACAGAGUUUAGAGUUGACUGAUACUGUACAGUAAAUAUUUCAAUGUUCCGCCCCCAGGGGGUCAGGUCUAGACACACAGGCAUCACCCAUCCCAAGUUCGGGAACAGCUCCACCAGACCCAGGGAGGACCACCCUGUGGUACAUGGGGUAUGGUACAUGGGGCUCGGAGAGCAGGGGCAGAAGUCAUCUAUCAUGAUUUCCUUCUACAUCUCCCUCUCCCCUUCCACACCUCC